GCGUAGGUCUGUCUGCCUGCUGCUUGUGCAGGCGUGUACAGGCAGGGGGAAAAGGAGGAGAGGAGAAUAAAGAAGGAAAGGAAAGGAAAGGAAAGGAAAGGAAAGGAAAGGAAAGGAAAGGAAAGGAAAGGAAAGGAAAGGAAAGGAAAGGAAAGGAAAGGAAAGGAAAGGAAAGGAAAAAGAGGGAAAAGGAAAAAGAGGGAAAAGAAAAAGGAAAAAUCACUAGCCUGAGUCGUGUGAAUCCAAACUUGCCACUGAUUCAAGUGAGGGCAGAGCCGCUUUCCGAAAAGUAGGCAGGAGUAUGCUUAAUAUGGGAUCGACUUUGUUCUUAAUGAAAUCUAAACUGGUUUCACUGUGUUAGUACCCUCAGGAAGAGCAAAGCUAACUCAGUGGUGUACUGCGACCAUAAUCCACAGAAUCCGUCCAGCUCGGCUGUCCUUCGUUUCUGGAGCGGAGAGCAGGCUGUUUACUUUGUGAGGAACGGCAGCAGCUGAACUUCGAACCUCCCAGGAGGGGGAGCAGGGGAGCCUUCCCUGCCGGCCUUGCACCCACGCGUGGCUGGGAAGAGGCUGCUGUGAUGCUGCCUGAGCACGAGGAGGAUCAGGGCGUGGUCCCAUAGUGCUGACAGGAUUCCUUGGCUGGGGACACUGCUCAUUUUGCCUGCUGGUCUGAAAAACAGGGCACGGCAUGAAGCAUUGUGUCAUUCAUAGGCAAAGAUUUUCACAUACACCUUUUGGUUAAAGAAAUGCAAGUUUCAUACACUAAUAAUGAUAAUGGAAAUGUUGAAGCUUGUAAUUUGGAAUUAUCUUUGGUAUCAUGUAACUUACACAAAUCAUAAUAGAAAAUAGCUGGGCUCUUCACACCUUUUAGCUAUGUAGAAUAUGGUCAUCUACAUCCAGUAUUAUGUAUCUUUUAUCAAUAAAUUAGCAUCUUAAAAUGGUUUAAAACACA